AUUGAACGCUGGCGGUAUGCUUAACACAUGCAAGUCGAACGAUGAGAAAGAGCUUGCUCUUUCGAUUAGUGGCGGACGGGUGCGUAACGCGUAGGAAUCUACCUAUUAGUGGGGGACAACUUAGGGAAACUUAAGCUAAUACCGCAUACGCCCUACGGGGGAAAGAAGGGGAUCGCAAGACCUUUUGCUAAUAGAUGAGCCUGCGUAGGAUUAGCUAGUUGGUAGGGUAAAAGCUCACCAAGGCGACGAUCCUUAACUGGUUUGAGAGAAUGAUCAGUCACACUGGAACUGAGACACGGUCCAGGCUCCUACGGGAGGCAGCAGUGGGGAAUAUUGGACAAUGGGCGAAAGCCUGAUCCAGCAAUACCGCGUGUGUGAAGAAGGCCUUAGGGUUGUAAAGCACUUUCAAUUGGAAGGAAAACCUCGAAGCUAAUACCUUCGAGUUUGACAUUACCUUUAGAAGAAGCACCGGCUAACUCCGUGCCAGCCGCCGCGGUAACAC
rnacentral:rRNA from 1 species